rnacentral:lncRNA from 1 species
CUGGGGUUCAGAGAUGUACAAGGUCACAUGAUUGCCACUGCCUCCAUUUCUACUAGGGUACUUGCACUCAUUUUUAAUUUCAACAGAUCGUGCAGAAUUGCGGGGGAAUGCACAUCAAGGACUUAUUGCCUGCAUGUUCAGCCAGCCUAGAGUCUCAGUGCUUGGAGGUGGCAAGCAGUAAUCAGUAAUCUAAAGGGCAGACACUACCCAGGCGCCCUUGUUCCCCAAGCUGUGGGCUCUGAGAAUGCAGGUCAUUUCUUUAUCAGCAAGUCCACAUGGGUGCCUGCUGGGUGCCGUGCAGUAUUCUGGGCAGAGGGAGCACUGCAUGGAAGAUCCCCAUGAAGUGUGUUUAACAAAAACAUCUGAAGGCGUGGGAGCAACAGACCCAAGGGAGCCGUACUGCAUGUUGAUCCAGUACUGACAGGGAUAACGAUGCAGUGGAAAACCACAGACGACAACUGCAGGCAGCCCAGUCAUGCCUGCGGAAGCACCAGCCCAGCUUUUCUCCUGAUACCAUCUACACUGUUGCUGCCAUCCGUUCUAGAACGCUGCCACUCUUCCCUGUGUAAGUUAAGCAGAAGAAAAGGAGGGGGGACUGUCUCCAAUCUCCCCAAGCCCACCCCCCCAUCAGUCGUUCCCCCAAGUGCAGUUAAGCUGUGGCCUUGAAUUUACAUUUGUC